rnacentral:sRNA from 1 species
UAUAUGACUACUUAAUGGAAUGAAAGUCGGUCCCUUUCCCUUCCCUGGCCCGGGCUUGGGGAUUGGGUGGUCAUUAUUUUGUGGGUGGAAUCUCUUGUUCUCUUGUUUGAGUGGUUUGUUGUGGCAGCUGAUAGAUAUUGUACUCCGUUGUAUAUUAUAUAUAGUAUAUAUGCGUGCAUGUAUAUAGUACCUAUUAAAGCCGUCACAGACUUCUAUAUUUGGAUCGACAGACCCUUUUUCCCCUUAUUGACGCGUAUUGUGCGUGGGUUGGCAGAUGAGAAUAUGAAAAUAAUAUUUAAAAAAUGAGAAAGUCAAGGGUAGGAAAUGCGAAAGAGAGAAAUAUACAGAAGACUAGCUCUGACCAGCGCCGUUCGCAGCUUUGAAUGCAACUCGGUUAUCGUCUUCCACCCCCUCCCACCAGCAGACUCUUCUCUUUCAACGUACAAAAUGAACAAUAUUCCAAAAUCUUCGCCAAAUAGACGUAACGGUUGAAUUUCUAGCCUGUAAAUCAACUCCCAGAAGUUGAGUAGAAGAAAAAGAAGGGAGGGAAAAAUCAGCACACUUGUUUUUGCCGCUUAGGCUGCAAAUCGUCCGUAGCAUCCAGUUCACGAACCUGUCGUUUCUUUGUCCCGUUCAUGCCGCCAUUGCUGUUGCUGGCAGGGACAGGGCCUUCUUUCGGAGCAACCCGGCCCGCCGCUGGUUUCGGAUUUCCAUCGCCAGCUCCUCCGCUGGGCGAUUCUCGCUGGGGCAUGUAGUAGUUCUGGCCUAGCAUGUGCAACUUUCGCCGAUCGGUCUUGUUCGAUUUUGUGCGCGGUAUUCGAUCGACGAGGAGGAAGAGUGUGGGGAUUUGGAUUUCUGGUAACGUAGCACCGAUCGUCUUCUUGAUCAAUUCGACUUUCGAAUAUACACUGUGAUUGUCGUUGAUAGUUCGGAAGGUGAUUGGUUCGUUGGGGCCGGCUUUGCUGCUUAGGUUCAUUGGAUUGUCUGCGAGGUAAAGGAAAGCAGUAAGAAUGGGACUUUCGACGCCGUCUAUAGCACCGAGUAAGUCGACAACAAUGGAGUCCUCCGGUGAUAGGCAUUUCCUUGCAGUGUAUUCAACUUCGAUGGCGUCAACCCUGCCGCCAUCAAUCUUCAAUAGAGUGUCUUUUCGUCCGACGUAAGUCAGGGUUCCGUCGUGGUUAUACUUUACAAGAUCGCCAGAUCUGUACAGUCUAGCUGAGGAUCCUCUCUCGGGAUGUAGCUCAUGGAGCCAUUUUGGCGUAUAUUGUAAGAAGCCGGCUUCAGACUUUCUGGAUAUCUGGUCAAGAUACCCGCGAGCAAGAUGAGGACCUUCCAUGAUCAUUUCUCCGACGGCGCCGACAGGCAUGAGGCGUUCCGGAGAUGCGGGGG